rnacentral:tRNA from 15 species
GCCUAAAUGCUGGAAUUUGGUAGACAGAACAAACUUAAGAUUUGUCGCUUUCGAGCGUGUUGGUUCGAGUCCAACUUUAGGUA